GAAAUCAGUGCUAAAAGUGCAAUUGUAGAAACUCAAAGGACUCCUCUUCAAAAGGACGGGUGUCAUUUGCAGCUGGCGGCUGGACUGAAAAUUUUGCCACCGCUGCUCACUGAAAAGUGAAAACUACUGCUACUGCAAGUACAAAAUGUCAAAUUUCAGCAGGUUUCUGUUCACGAACGGCGUCGUAGUUCCUCCGGCCGACACACCCCCUGUUGCAACCUUACUGCAAUCGUGUCCCGGUGCAUAUACGACAACUCGUACUCACAAUAAUGGGGCGGAAAUCAUGUUUUGGCAAAGACAUUUAUCCAGGCUCUCAAAUUCUGUUAAAGUCCUCUUGAAUUCCAGGCCCGAACUUUUGUUUAAAGCUGGAGAAGAUAUGGUACCUUUUGUUAAAGUGUCAGAGAAAUCUUUGAAAUGGGAUCUCGUCAUUCGUGCUCUAGUCAAUGAUUCGAUGGGAAAAGCUUUGCCUUUUGUGCUGAAAGAGAGGAAAUGUGGGGAGGAAAUGUCGAUUACGACACUAGUGAGUGGAAAUUUGGAGUCUUUAAGGGAGAUUGAGGACGUCAAUGAGGAAAGACUGAAAGCAGUCUUUGAUGUUUAUUUGCAUUUUGGUGGCUAUGUUCCCCGUGUUUUUGGAAUCCAAGGAAAUGGUGCGCGUUUAGCUGUGGUGGGACGCGGUAGGGAUAUCGCUAAUGCAAAGUAUUCGGAUUGGGUGAGGCUUAGGAAGGAUUUGGAGAAGCUGAGGCCACCUUCAACUACUGAGCUUCUAUUGUCAAACAAUGGUGAUCACAUCUUAGAAGGAUGCCUAACGAAUUUCUUUGUUGUUUGUGGCAAGGAUGAAUGCGGAGAGAUUUAUGAGCAGAAUGAUUUCGACUAUGAAAGAUCUGUCGAAGUACAGACAGCUGCUGUUAGUGAAGGUGUGCUUCCUGGAGUUAUACGCCAAGUAAUAAUUGAGAUAUGCUUGAGGAAUGGGAUCCCGUUUAGAGAAGUUGCGCCAUCAUGGUCACAGCAUAACAUGUGGAGAGAAGCAUUCAUUACAAAUAGCUUGAGAAUUAUAGAACAUGUAGAGACAAUUCUAGUCCCAAGUUCAUGGAAAUCCAUGGAAUCAAAAACUUCAACGGAAAUAAGAUGGGAGGAGAAACAAUUUGAGGUCACUCCCGGGAGGGUAACAUCAAUAAUACAGAAGGAGGUAAUGGAAAUAGCAGGAUUUGAAGCAUACCCAGUUGCUUUAUGCAAAGACUGAUACUCUUGCAUGGUCGAGGGAACAACGAUGAGGCAACAUAUUAAAAGCUAAGAACGCGUUUAUAAUGGGUUAUCAAAAGGCUGCAUACAUCUGUAAGCUGUGAGAGGGGAAUGGAGUAUCAGAAUUACCAUAUAUGAUGGUGGCCACUAUGAGAUUCAAUGCUUGACAAAUCUGAUGAAUACUGUGGUGUUAUGAUCUUCUCGACAGACAUGAUGCUCCAUGGACCAGAUUCCGGUUGACAUAUCGACUUUCCCAGUAACACGAAUUGUUCUGCUCUGCUACAAAAUAGAUUCGGUUUCCAUUCCAUAUUUCUGAUUGCGAGAUAGUGAGCCAUUGGUGGCUAUGGACAAUGCUUGGUCCUCCCCCAAACUAGUUGAACUCUUUCAAUCCUUAUACGACUUUAAGUUGAUAGCUUCAACCGUGAAGUCACUUGUUUGAAGAUACAUCAGAUCUGCAGCAGCAUUUUCCUAGUACAUUCCAGAAUAGACAUCAAGAAGUCUUUUAUGAGCAAUAAUUCACCAUUACCAGAUUCUGCUAAAUGUGCAACUGCCCACAUACUUUAUGCAACUGAAAAGUUGUGAAAAGGCUCAACCUCCAGUUGGUCUGAAUAAACCGUGUAAUCUGCAACAAUGAAGCGUGACUGCACCUCAUACCUCCCAAUCAGUUAGACCACCGGUGUUAAGGGGCUCCUCUAUAUGUGCAUCAUUCUCCUCCUUUACACCUUCUACUUUAAAAUGUCCCCUACAAAUCAAACCAAAUACAUUCCUUUAUAAUAUAGGAUAUCAGUAUAGUAACCAGGUAUACUGCUGAUAUAUUUGGCCU